CAGCCGCCACGGUAAUACGUAGGUGGCAAGCGUUGUCCGGAAUUAUUGGGCGUAAAGCGUACGUAGGCGGAUACUUAAGUUAGGAGUGAAAUCCCAGGGCUCAACCCUGGAACUGCCUUUAAUACUGGGUAUCUUGAGUUCGAGAGAGGUGAGUGGAAUUCCGAGUGUAGAGGUGAAAUUCGUAGAUAUUCGGAGGAACACCAGUGGCGAAGGCGGCUCACUGGCUCGAUACUGACGCUGAGGUGCGAAAGCGUGGGGAGCAAACAGGAUUAGAUACCCGCGUAGUCCCUGUCUCUUAUAC
rnacentral:rRNA from 1 species